AGAGACUUAGGAUAACCCAGACCAAGAACCUUCAAAGCUCUCAGUAGAAGUGAAAAUCUUCUAGUCUCUG
rnacentral:tRNA from 1 species